AUUGAACGCUGGCGGCAGGCUUAACACAUGCAAGUCGAGCGAGCGGCGGACGGGUGAGUAAUGUCUGGGAAACUGCCUGAUGGAGGGGGAUAACUACUGGAAACGGUAGCUAAUACCGCAUACCAUCAGAUGUGCCCAGAUGGGAUUAGCUAGUAUGUGGGGUAAUGGCUCACCUAGGCGACGAUCCCUAGCUGGUCUGAGAGGAUGACCAGCCACACGGGAACGGAGAAACGCGCCAGACUCCUACGGGAGGCAGAAGGGGGGAAUAUUGCACAAUGGGCGAAAGCCGGAUGCAGCAAUGCCGCGGGUGGGAAGAAGGCCUUCGGGUUGUAAAGCACGUUAAGCGAGGAGGCGUUACUCGAAGAAGAAGCACCGGCUAACUCCGUGCCAGCAGCCGCGGUAAUUC
rnacentral:rRNA from 1 species